ACGUAGGGUGCAGGCGUUAAUCGGAAUUACUGGGCGUAAAGCGUGCGCAGGCGGCUCCUUAAGUCAGAUGUGAAAUCCCCGGGCUUAACCUGGGAACUGCGUUUGAAACUGGGGGGCUUGAGUGUGGAAGAGGGGGGUGGAAUUCCAGGUGUAGCAGUGAAAUGCGUAGAGAUCUGGAGGAACACCGGUGGCGAAGGCGGCAUCCUGGACCAUUACUGACGCUGAGUGAGCGAAAGCCAGGGGAGCAAACGGGA
rnacentral:rRNA from 1 species